AGUGGCGGACGGGUGAGUAACGCGUGAGAAUCUGCCUUGGGGUCGGGGACAACCACUGGAAACGGUGGCUAAUACCGGAUAAGCCGAUUGGUGAAAGAUUUAUUGCCCGAAGAGGAGCUCGCGUCUGAUUAGCUAGUUGGUGAGGUAAGAGCUCACCAAGGCAGCGAUCAGUAGCUGGUCUGAGAGGACGAUUAGCCACACUGGGACUGAGACACGGCCCAGACUCCUACGGGAGGCAGCAGUGGGGAAUUUUCCGCAAUGGGCGAAAGCCUGACGGAGCAAGACCGCGUGAGGGAGGAAGGCUCUUGGGUUGUAAACCUCUUUUCUCAGGGAAGAAGCUCUGACGGUACCUGAGGAAUCAGCCUCGGCUAACUCCGUGCCAGCAGCCGCGGUAAUACGGAGGAGGCAAGCGUUAUCCGGAAUUAUUGGGCGUAAAGCGUCCGCAGGUGGCGAUUCAAGUCUGCUGUCAAAGCACGGGGCUUAACUCCGUAAAGGCAGUGGAAACUGAAUAGCUAGAGUGCCGUAGGGGUAGAGGGAAUUCCCGGUGUAGCGGUGAAAUGCGUAGAGAUCGGGAAGAACAUCGGUGGCGAAAGCGCUCUACUGGACGGCAACUGACACUCAGGGACGAAAGCUAGGGGAGCGAAUGGGAUUAGAUACCCC
rnacentral:rRNA from 1 species